rnacentral:rRNA from 1 species
UACGGAGGGUGCAAGCGUUGUCCGGAAUCACUGGGCGUAAAGGGCGCGUAGGCGGCUCAUGAAGGCUGUGGUGAAAGUCCGGGGCUCAACCUCGGAUCGGCCGUGGCGACUCGUGGGCUGGAGCACUGUAGAGGCGGGUGGAAUUCCGGGUGUAGCGGUGGAAUGCGUAGAGAUCCGGAAGGACACCAGUGGCGAAGGCGGCCCCCUGGUCCGGAUACUGACGCUGAGACGCGAAAGCGUGGGGAGCAAACAGG